UUGUGGCUAGCUGUUUUUUUCCUCUCUCUCUUCCUAUGAUGUUCUCCUGUGUCCAUGUCUGUCUCUGUGUUCAAAUUUGGCCCUAUCUGUAAGGACACCUUACAGAUAUCCUUGGAUAAGGAAAUGGCAGCCCACUCUUGCCUGGAGAAUCCCAGGGACGGGGAAGCCUGGUGGGCUGCCGUCUCUGGGGUUGCACAGAGUCGGACACAACUGAAGCAACUUAGCAGCAGUAAGGACACCAGUCAGAUUGGAUUAGGGUUCAUGCUAAUGACCUCAUUUGGACUUGAUUACCUCUGUAAAUACCUUAUUUCCAAAUACAAUAUUCUAAGGUACUAGAGGUUAUAUAUGUUAGGGCACUAACGUAAGCUUUUUGGGGGACAGGAUUCAAAUCUUAAUGCUCACCAACUCCAUUUCCUUUUCAUGGGCACCCAAAGGCAAGAUUUCCUGAUCCCUAUUACAGUUAGGUCAGGCCACCUUCUUGGUUCUGACUUUAUGAAUGUGGUGGGAGUGAUGUGUACUGAGCCUAAUUGUAGACCAUCUUGGAUGUUUUUCUUCAGCUUUGCUCUUUGCUCACUGGCUGCCUGAAUGUAGAGGGCACUGAGGAGGCACUGGAAGAUCUCAACAAUACAAGAUGGAGAAGCCAGAUACCAAAUCACCAGGGAAGGUCAGUUGCAGUUGACAAAACCCAUUUGGACUGUGAUAUGAGUGAAAAACAUAUGCUUGUUGAAUGAAGCAAUAAUCAGUGGAAUUGAUUUCAUUAAUGAAGAACAUGCCAGAACUUGGGGUUAUCUACAAUGAAAGAUGAUUUCUUCAGGCCUGGUGAGCUGAAAGAUGACUAGAUGACCACUUUGUGAAUAGAAGAAAUUAAAGCUCAGGGCUGGUGUGAAGACUUUUAACAGCAAGCUGAAAAAACAACUGGACACACUUCAGAACUUUCUGGCAAGUGUUUACAAUCAACUGGAACAAUUUCAGGGCACAUUAGGAAGAGGAGGAGGAAGAGGCCUGAACUGCUGCUGUGAGAAACUGGUGCACGGAGUUCUCAUCUUACAGCAAUUAAAUGCCAAACAUUCCCCCAUCUACAGAGAGAAUGAUGUUGGGUUGAGUGAAUGCUUAGAGUAAAAAAAUAUGUGUUACAGAAACAAACAGGAAAUAUGGCUAGGAAGUAAGGACGUAUUCUGAUCUGGCUUGUGAACUUUAUGUUCAAACGUCUUACUACUUUCUGAGCUAAAGGUAGUAAGAGUUUAAAUCCAUCUAUGACAUUAGAAUUUAAUUUCCACAUUAUUACUCAGAAACUAAAUGGCUUGUGGAGGUUCAAAGUAGGAAUUGAUACUUAUUUAAAUAGAUACCUAGAACAUUUAGUAUGUUGUCUGAUGUCUGAAUUACAGCAAUUUUAACCUGCAACUAUUUCCCAGGGUUUCUUAGUGCAUUAGUAUUGGGACAGGUUUUAUGUUGGAGCAGACAGCUUUGCUCAAAUGAUAUUCUGCAGCCAUGUGUGCUAAAAGAGAAUUCUAUGGGCAUUCCAGGAACACUACAAAAAUGAAGUUUUUAUAUACUUUCUUAUAAAAUAUUAAAUAUCACUCUGAUAAAGA